UCUACUUAAAAUUGAUAACACUAUUUUCAUAAAACAAAAUAAAUAGUAUUAGCUACCAAUCAAAUUAGCACUGUUUUUUCCAAGACUGUUUCUUUCAAACUUCUAUUUUCUGUCUACCCCUCUCGACCAAGCUUUCCUUCUCCAUGCUCCUCCCGCUCUAACCUUUUAUCCUGAAUUUAGCUGGGUAGCUAGCCAAAAUCCAACUAAUAGGUUUGGCUGUUUGUUUACUUUGCUAUCAUUUUCUACAAUAUUAUCAUUACAUUUUCUACGACCUACUCUACAAUCGUCUAGAUUUUCAUCUCCUUACUUCACUCUUCACUUCAAAAUUUUCUUUUCUUUAAUCUACUCGGCAUCACUGAUUAUAUUUUUCUUUCGACCGGGAGCUUGACGGACUUGAUGAGCGGGACAUUUCGCUGUGAGUUGAAGGAUGACAGUUGGACCAGAGAUGCAGUCUGAAUGAUUAAUUUUGUCCAUCUUCUUCUCUCUAUUUUUUUUAUAUUUUGAGCUUAACAUUCAUGAGCUUAAUUGAUAA
rnacentral:lncRNA from 1 species